rfam:Cicer arietinum chromosome Ca8, whole genome shotgun sequence.
GUCCCUUCGGGAACAUUCGAUAAAAUUGGAAUGAUACAAAGAAGAUUAGCAUGACCCUUGCACAAGGAUGAUACGCACAAAUCUAUAAAUGAUCAAUUUGUUU